rnacentral:lncRNA from 1 species
UAAAAGUAAACUUUAAUUUGUUCUUUUUUUUCGUUAGAAUGAAAAAUGUUUUAUUACAAAAGCAAGAAAAUCAACACUAACACCUGUAUGUAGACUUCACAUAUACUUUAAGGGGGAAGGGGUUUUCACACAAGUUCAAAGUAGUGACAAUUACAAAAAACCCAUAAUAGAAUUCUAGUUUAAAGAGGUUUUGUUGAAUUUAAAAGGGAGCUCAAAGAGCUUCCAGUGACAAAAGAAAGACCAGAGUCUAAACUUCUUACAGAAAUAUAUUCUCUGCCCAGUUAUAAGCCUAACAAACCACAAUUUGCCCAGUUAAUUAACCUGCAAAAAAACAAAAAACCAUUAAUGCACCAGGAUUUGGAAGAGAAAAAUAUCUAAUUUAUAUAACCGAAUCAGGUUACAUGGUAUCAGUCAAAAGAAAAAAUGAAUAAAAAACUGAAUUCUAUUAAUAUCUACUAGAAAUUUACUAGUUCUAAUUUAACUAGAGAAGAAGCAUAAUUAUUUGAUAAUGUGCGCACAAGUCUAUAACUACAAUUCAAUAAUCAUAAUUUUACAAGCAAAUUUUGCUUCGUCAAUUCAUUGAACGCAGGGAUAUGGGGUGAUAGGUAUCAUUGUCCAAGUAACGAAAGAAUGCCGAAUAUGGUAAACCCAACUUCAUUAUCAUGUGUUAAGUAUCCAAUGGAUGGGGACUUCCUUGAAAGCCCAUAAAUUAUGCAUGCAUUUCAGAAAUCGUUCAAUUGCUAAUCGUCAGAAUUCAAAAUGGAAUAAUUGACUUAUAUAGUUAUAUGUUUAUACCUGUAAUGUUAACUUCUUUUUCACGGUUUAUGCCUUCAAGUUAUGUUAGUUGAGGGUUGGGAUAAGGGAUUCGGGUCCUAGGUUCAAAAGUUACUAAGGUCUAAAGAGUAAUAAGAUAAGUGGCACAUCUCUAAAAGGCAUUUUACAAUUAAAUGAUAUUAUAUAUCAACAGAAACUUGAAAAAAAAUAGUAAGAUGGAACCUACGUACAUUGCCAAUAACAUCCAUACCAAAUUCCAACAAAUAUUGAAUGAAUUACUAGUAGUAUUUUAAGGUCAAAUUAGUGCAGACUAUUCUCAAAAAUCAGGAAUUGAUGAUUACUAUUUCUUCUUCAAUAUUAGAUGUUAACACUAUGUAAUCCUUAAAAAUCAGGAACUCAAUUAAGCAAAUUAUUUGUGUUUGUAGUUAUGCAGAUUGAAAUUUACUUCUUUCUAAUGACAACUUACAAUAAGGGCCAUAGGAUAAUCUCCCUCUUGAUGUGAUGCAUACCAAUAACGAAGGAGAAAACUCCUUCCUCAACAGUGUGCUUGAAAACUUUCAACAUGCUUGAUCGAUAAGCCUGCCAUGGUGGGGGUGUAAAACAAAAGCAGACAUGAUAUUUAAGUGCAAAUCAAGUUAUUCAAAGAGAAUUCGAACUAAAUGUGUAUCACAAACAAUAGUUAAAUGUAAUAGAACAUAAAACAUUAACUUUUCCAGUAUUUCUCAAGCAAUAACAAAUUUGUUUUUGUGGUAAUGCAAGGACAAGGUAUGCAAGAAAAAAAUUGAAAUUACUGAGAUUGACCAAAUGAGAAUGUGACUAGUAACAUGCUGUCAUGAUUAAGAUGGUUUCCUAUCAUAGAUACACCUAGUGUCAUACCCCUUACAAUCUCGAAUCUUAACUAAUGUUUAUUUUGUGUUUCAAAUUAAAAAUUAGUGAAGAUUUGUUAGUUACUCACAAAAGUUAUCAUAUCAGCAGUACUCUGUUUGGUGUCUUCUGCAUCUAGUCCACUCUGACAAAAGCAAAAACAGUUCCAAAAGAAUUAGUACGAUUAACAUAGAAUUAGCAAUACUGUCAAGUGUCAAUUAAAGCAUUCAGUACCUCUAUUAGUUUUGGAUCAAGAGCACAAAAGAAGCUUGUUCAGUAAUUCUGUCAGGUCAGACCAAAAUGCAAUAUAUUUAAUUAGAAGAUAGUAUAAAAUUGGAUAACAGACAAUAGAACAAGCAAAAUGUAUUAAUGAUGUCUUCUCUUUUGCUAUUGGCACAACCAGAUCACAACUUUAGUGCAAAAGUAAGUGUCUGAGUCCAACAAGUAGAAGAUGCUCUGCUUUGAACUAAAAUGUAUAGCAUAUAUAUGCAUUCAUUUAUUAGAAAUAGAUUUUGAAAAUUCACCCAAAUCAUGCCUAGAAAGAAAUUAGAGGAUUUAUCAAAAUAUAGAAGCCAAAUGCCAAAGCUUAAUAAGUUCAUGAGGCAUUACCUUAUUGACCUUUGGCAUCAAGGGUAAAGAAGGACUAUGCUGGAAAUAUACCUUCCACAGUAGAAUUGUCACAAAAUAAACAGAUACCAGACCUUGAAUUUUCAAGUUACAUAAUCUUACAAGGAUCAAAAUUAAAAAUGC